GAUGAACGCUGGCGGCGUGCCUAAUACAUGCAAGUCGAGCGAACAGACGAGGAGCUUGCUCCUCUGACGUUAGCGGCGGACGGGUGAGUAACACGUGGAUAACCUACCUAUAAGACUGGGAUAACUUCGGGAAACCGGAGCUAAUACCGGAUAAUAUAUUGAACCGCAUGGUUCAAUAGUGAAAGACGGUUUUGCUGUCACUUAUAGAUGGAUCCGCGCCGCAUUAGCUAGUUGGUAAGGUAACGGCUUACCAAGGCAACGAUGCGUAGCCGACCUGAGAGGGUGAUCGGCCACACUGGAACUGAGACACGGUCCAGACUCCUACGGGAGGCAGCAGUAGGGAAUCUUCCGCAAUGGGCGAAAGCCUGACGGAGCAACGCCGCGUGAGUGAUGAAGGUCUUCGGAUCGUAAAACUCUGUUAUUAGGGAAGAACAAAUGUGUAAGUAACUAUGCACGUCUUGACGGUACCUAAGCAGAAAGCCACGGCUAGCUACGU
rnacentral:rRNA from 1 species